GUGAGGAAUUUUCCGCAAUGGGCGAAAGCCUGACGGAGCAAUGCCGCGUGAAGGAUGAAGGCCUAUGGGUUGUAAACUUCUUUUCUCAGAAAAGAAUUAUGACGGUAUCUGAGGAAUAAGCAUCGACUAACUCUGUGCCAGCAGCCGCGGUAAGACAGAGGAUGCAAGCGUUAUCCGGAAUGAUUGGGCGUAAAGCGUCUGUAGGUUGUUUAAAAAGUAUUCUGUCAAAGAUUAGGGCUUAACCCUAGAUAGGCAGAAUAAACUUUUAAGCUAGAGUUUGGUAGAGGCAGAGAGAAGUCCCGGUGGAGCGGUGAAAUGCGUAGAUAUCGGGAGGAACACCAAAGGCGAAGGCACUCUGCUGGGCCAAUACUAACACUGAGAGACGAAAGCGAGGGGAGCAAAUGGGAUUAGAUACCCCGGUAGUCC
rnacentral:rRNA from 1 species